rnacentral:rRNA from 1 species
UACGUAGGGUGCAAGCGUUGUCCGGAAUUAUUGGGCGUAAAGAGCUCGUAGGCGGUUUGUCACGUCGGGAGUGAAAUCUUACAGCUUAACUGUGAACUUGCUUUCGAUACGGGCAGACUUGAGGCAUUCAGGGGAGAACGGAAUUCCUGGUGUAGCGGUGAAAUGCGCAGAUAUCAGGAGGAACACCGGUGGCGAAGGCGGUUCUCUGGGAAUGUACUGACGCUGAGGAGCGAAAGGUGUGGGGAGCGAACAGG